CGAAGUUGAGAGAGGUCGCCGGCGAAAUGGUGCGGCUGUAAAGUUUCCCUCGGCUCGUACGAAAUCCUACCUCUGACUUGACGCUUCUUCCUCUCCGGCAGCGCCGUUCAGGUGUUGCGGGAGUUCCGCGUGAUCACAGAUAAACUGUAAAAGAGCAAGGAGAGACUUGGGAAGUGCGCUGAAGGAGGACCAUUGUCAAUGGCUCGUAUAGUGGCUCCCACAGUGUGAAGUAAUCCAAGAAAAACUGUGUUUACAAUGUGCAGAUGCUGCCUGCACUCCAGAACUUUGUAUGUGUUGCUCAAUCGGCAAGAGUGCGAUGUAAAUCAUAGUCCUAUCAAACUCGUCUAAGCUGAAGGAGCACUGUUUUAAGGAAAUGGCAAAUGUGAUCUACUAUUUCAAAUGGGGAUUAAUACCAUCAAUAUCUAAUGUAUUUGAAGUCAUUUGAUACAUUCAUAUUGAACUCCUGCUCAAUGGAUGGUC